ensembl:rRNA 5S_rRNA 5S ribosomal RNA
AUCUACGGCCAUGCCACCCUGAACACGCCUGGCAUCUCGUCUGAUCGCGGAAGCGAAGCAGGGUCGGGCCUGGUUAGUACUUAGAUGGGUGACCACCGAGGAAGACCAGGUGCUGUAGGCG